AAUUUUCCCUUCUGGGUCAUUUCUGACCUAUAGAUCUUCAGCCACACCCCAAAUCUUUAACCAUAUUCCAAAGUUAUUAUGAGUAUAUAAAUAACAUUAAAACAUUAAUUCAUAUACAUAGCUUGAAGUGGGGUGACCUUUUCAACACCAAUUUGUGUCUGUGAAUUUUUACAAUAACUGGUAUUUCACAAAUAAAGUUAUGCGUAUUUGGCAUGCUGUCAGGGGGGAGGGCUCCGAGCUCGGAAUAUUGGUCCGAACCCAGAGUACUCCCCCCAGUGUGGUAAAAAUAGAUAGAACUAGAAGUUGUCACAGUUCCCGUGUUCCCCGGACUCCAUUUCCCAUUAUCCUCCUGUUCUCCACACCUGCACCCACUUCCCUCGUCAUCUCCCCAUCAGCACUCAUCAUCUUCACCUGGACGUAAUCAUCUUCACUGCCUUUAUAAUGGACUCACUCCCUGCACUCCCUGUCCGUUCUCUGUUGUGUUAAAUGUAUGUUUUGGUGUUCCUUGCCUGAGUUAAUUAAAGUGGUUCUAUAUUUGUGGAAAUCCGUAUCUGCCUCAUCUCUGCGCCAGCGUACUUGUAACAGAAGUGAGGUGAAGGGGUGGAGGAGGGAUGCUGAUAAACUCUCAGAUGAAGACAAGAUACAGACGAGGGAGGAGAAAAGGAGACGUGCAGACUGUUGUGAAAUCUGGAGGAGGAGGGGAGACACCAGCACAUUUUGAGAACAAAGUGAGAGAAUGUCACACUCACAGCAGCAUGGCUUCAGCCCACCCCACUCCCCUCUCCGCCUGCAGAGAGUAACCCUUUCUCAUUCUGUCCGCUGUGGAGAAUCUUACCCUGUCUCACUUUAUCUGCCUGCAAAAGUCUAACCUUGUCUCACUCUGUCUGCCUGUAGGAGCAGAAGCCUGUCUCACUGUAUCUGCCAGUGAAGAUUUAAACCUCAUCGUCUUCCACCUGGCCAUGUCUUGCUCUAACUUAAAGGGACAGUUAACCCCCCCAAAAAAAAAAAAAUUGUCAUCAUUUACUUACCCUCAUGUCAUUUAAAACUUUAUUAAAUGCAUUUCUUUCUUCAGUUACACUUUAUUUUAAAGUAUCCUUGUUACAGUGUAAUUGCACUAAUGAGUACUGACUAAUAUUAAUUAACUACAUGUACCUACUAUAAGGUUAAGGCUUGGUUUAGUGUUAUUUGCUUAUAAUUAUGCAUAAUUCAUGUGUUAUUAUUAAGAACAUGUUACACCUUUUAGAUAUUUUGAAGAAUGCUGGUAACCAAAAAGUGUUAGUGACUACUGACUUCCAUUUUAUAGGAAAAUAAUGAAACAAACAAACAAAACACUGAGACAUUUUCCCACAUUUUUCAUGUUCCGAAGAAAAAAGAAAGCCGUUUUGGUUUGGAAUGACAGGAGGGUGAGUAAAUGAUGACAGAAGUGUUAUUUUUGUGAACUAUCACUUAGAUGUCACCCUUGUCUCUAGUAGUAUCGUUAAAUGUGGCCUUCUUCUUCCUUUUAUUAAUGAUUCAACCAUUUUUUUCUGUUUCGCAGUGAGGUUAAUAAUCACCUCAGUGCUUCUUAAUAAAGCAUUGCUAAGAAAUCACAUUGAUAAAAUGGCAAAACAUACAAAAGGUGUAUUUAUUUAAAUACGCAUAUAGUGACAGAGAUGGAAGAGGAGACAGAUAAAUGUGAGAACACUCAAUAUGUUGGCUGAGGGAUUGGAAUGCCCCACCUCCCGGUUAAAUAAACCAGUCAGAAAAAUACAGUUGUUCAUGUGAUUUGAGCUCAUUUAAUUUAAGCAAAAUGUACAAUUGUUUUGAGAUUUAAAGAUUGUGAGAUUUCAUUACUGAUUAACAACUUUUUUGUCAUUUUGCCAUUUGGAAAAGAGGCGGUGGAAC